rnacentral:misc_RNA from 1 species
GACGACACUGACAAUCAGGGUUGGGGGUCCUCUGGCGGGCGCGCACCAACCGGUAGCCGGUGGCCAGGCGUGAGCCCGGCGGCCCGCCAAAGCAACGACGUGUUAUGACACAGGGUGGGAGAUCUACCCGCGGGGGCACGAACUCGGUAAUGAUCCCUCCGCAGGUUCACCUACGGAGACCUUGUUACGACUUUUACUUCCUCAAAUGACCAAGA